rnacentral:rRNA from 1 species
GACGUAGGGCGCGAGCGUUGUCCGGAUUUAUUGGGCGUAAAGAGCUCGUAGGCGGCUUGUCGCGUCGUUCGUGAAAACUUGGGGCUCAACCCCAAGCUUGCGGUCGAUACGGGCAGGCUGGAGUUCGGUAGGGGAGACUGGAAUUUACGGUGUAGCGGUGAAAUGCGUAGAUAUCGUAAGGAAGACCAGUGGCGAAGGCGGGUCUCUGGACAGUUCCUGACGCUGAGGCACGAAGGUCAGGGGAGCAAACGGG